GCUGCAGCAUAAAGGAAAGUUUCACACCAGUAAAAUAGAUGCCUUUACAGGUUUCGUGGCAGAAGUGGGUAGAUUCAUUUUUGUGUGUUGCUUGCACACGCUGGGGAUCAUAAAACGAGAUUAUGGAGGUUGAGAAGAAGUUGAUUAUCAACAAUGAUGAAAGUAGCAAAAAGGUCAUGGAUAAUUAGGAUAGAAUAGUGACUGAUUUUGCAGCAAAUAAGUCAACUGAUACUUUGUUUAGAGCAGUUUUGUCAGAGUGAGGAAUCCUGACUGAAGUGGGUGAAGCAGGAAG